rnacentral:rRNA from 1 species
UAGCGGCAGGCUUAACACAUGCAAGUCGAGGGGUAUAGUAGCAAUACUAGAGACCGGCGCACGGGUGCGUAACGCGUAUGCAAUCUACCUUUUACAGAGGGAUAGCCCAGAGAAAUUUGGAUUAAUACCUCAUAGCAUUGCAGGAUGGCAUCAUCCAGCAAUUAAAGUCACAACGGUAAAAGAUGAGCAUGCGUCCCAUUAGCUAGUUGGUAAGGUAACGGCUUACCAAGGCUACGAUGGGUAGGGGUCCUGAGAGGGAGAUCCCCCACACUGGUACUGAGACACGGACCAGACUCCUACGGGAGGCAGCAGUGAGGAAUAUUGGACAAUGGGCGCAAGCCUGAUCCAGCCAUGCCGCGUGCAGGAUGACGGUCCUAUGGAUUGUAAACUGCUUUUGCACAGGAAGAAACACUCGGUCGUGACCGAGCUUGACGGUACUGUAAGAAUAAGGAUCGGCUAACUCCGUGCCAGCAGCCGCGGUAAUACGGAGGAUCCAAGCGUUAUCCGGAAUCAUUGGGUUUAAAGGGUCCGUAGGCGGUUUAAUAAGUCAGUGGUGAAAGCCCAUCGCUCAACGGUGGAACGGCCAUUGAUACUGUUAAACUUGAAUUAUUAGGAAGUAACUAGAAUAUGUAGUGUAGCGGUGAAAUGCUUGGAGAUUACAUGGAAUACCAAUUGCGAAGGCAGGUUACUACUAA